GUGACUUUCAACGCUUCUGGCUGGUUCGUCACUUUUCCUUCCAUUUUGGAAGAGUGUCGGGAGUGAGCUCUAAUCGAUCGAGCCGUUUCGGAGCAGUUGGGUGACAAACACCGUGACACGAGAUCGGGAUAGCGAUAUAUAUAGAUUUGUCGUGUUCAACGAGCAGUUUCGUUCCAGAAGGAGGAGUGUCCAUCGAAUCACCGAGCAACUGGCAGUUUAAUAGUUUCAACUUCCAAGAACAACUAAACAAGUGUUCACACCAGCAGCUGAGCCCCCUAUUAUUCCUAAUAAUUACAACUGUAUCGCAUAACGCACUCAUCAUCCGGCGCUCGGGUACUACGCGGAGCGCACCUGCGAAUGCCGCACUGCCACUUUGAUACUGAUAGUGCGCGCUAAUUAGCAUACGUGGGAUGGCUAAUUGCACACGAUUAAUCUAUUCUCGCGGUCGUUCUGUCGCUCACGUAGAACCAUACAGAACUCGUAAACAUUACGAUACGCCUAAGGUAUAAAACGUUUCCGCUCCCAGGGCCAGAGCAACGUGUUGGCGGCGGCCUCCAGCAGGACCGUCACACCGCGGGAAGAUAGGAAUAAUUAGUUCGUUGAGCGAGUUGGCAGCGGUUACAAUUGUUAAUUCCCCGUUCUUCAUCCACAUUUCACACCCACCUCAGGCUUGAAAAGCUUGGACUUAGUUUAAUGGAACGGUGCCAUAUCCGGACUUCGCCUCGACGACAUUGUUUUACAUUGGCCAAAUUCGCUCACCCGAAAGAAAGACAAAUUCGGUUUAUCAGAAACACUAUUUGUUUUCACUUUUCGCACCGUUUAACUCUAAGAAUGAAAAGCCGUAGGUGCAGUUGUUUUCCUCAGUUUUUGGAUACGCUAAUCUGGUUCUGGUUUCACUUGAUAGAUAACCAAAUUACUCGUUUGUUCCAAAAAUAUUUGUAAAUUUACAGCAUAUCGUUCGUUGUUUUUUCCCCUAAAAAUUGUACUUCUUCUUAUGAAUACGUGUAAUGUUUUGUAUAGGUAUCGCCUCUCGCCUCUCUCAUUCGUGUAUCAAUAACGAUUUUUAUCAACAAAUCGAAUUGAAUAUCCUAAUAUAUGGUGUUCACAAAAAAAUUAUCAUGUCAGCUGACCAAUGGAUACUAAAUAAUCUAUUUUCGCGCUCAUUUCUUCUAUUUUUAUUCACUUUGGUAUUGUGGCAGGAGCAGAUUUGCAAUCCGUUUAUCCCGAUGCUCUCAUUCUCAACUGAUUUCACAGGCCUUCGAAACAAACGCUCAAAUACUUGGAAUCAUUUUUUUUUCUUAUUUGUUUGCGACCCGCUGCUGUCGAUCAAUGUGACGCGCGCCUUCAUUUUGCGCACUUCAAAUCACAAAUAAACAAAUACUGCGGCGUUGUGCUGGGAAAUAACGAUGGGUAAACAACAAUCCCCCGUUUGUAAUCUGUUUCGCGCUAAUGGCGACGAUGCUAAUAAAUAAAAACAUCAAGCGCAACAUAUUUUAGGUGCGUUUGGGUAUUGUUUCGCUUCAAAUGGCGACGUUGUUUGACGGGCUUUUGAAAACACUCGACAAUUGCAUCUCUAUAGGCGGCGGAUAUGCAUUUCCUCCCUUCGGGGUGAAUAACUGAUGCAAUCUCUGUCGGAAUACCUGAUAAUAAACAAUGAAUCUUCGUAAUCGAGUGCGGAGUAGCGUUGAACGGCAUGAAGAUAGACAUCCCGCAAUAAUCAUCUGCCGUACUGCGACACACGGCUAAAUUAGACAACACGAACCGUAAAUAAAGACAGAUUAGGCAUCGUGGCUUUACCCAGAUCUUGUAGAUGCAUUACCAUUAUUCAAUGCUAUUAAAUAUAACUCGCGAUGUAGAUCGAGAUAAGAUCGCCGCUCAAAUUCAAGUCGUGCCAAGUUAUAGAACACAGGUUAUCCUCUUAUUCUCAGCCUUGUAUACCCCUUUCAUUUUCGCCAACCAGACAAGCGCCUGUAUAGUGUAAACAAUACUCAAAUAGCGUUCGGGUCAUGUUACCACCGAAUCCGUCCCGUGUACCCACCAAACGAGACGACAACGAAAACCCAAACAUUCCAUAUCCACAGCAGUGCUUAACCCCAGACAGAAUUCUGGCAAGCACAGGGCGCGCUCGAGGCGCGUGGACACUCGCCGCCAUCGUGCUUAGUAUAAACAUCGUCGUCCCGAACCAGAUCUUCGCCCAUGAACAACUCGCUGACCGCGCAGCGGUGACAUAACAAGCGAUUGCAGUGAGUCUCCUCAUAACAGAGUACCGUUUUCGCCAGUUGCAAUCGUAAACGCGUUGUGGGUUUCGGAUGGUCGAAUUCAACGACUGCAGACAUGGCUGCUGUCUGCCUGCAUCAGCAAAAUGUUAUCGGAUCCUGGACAAAGCUCGGUCUUCAGCGCUCCGGCUGCAGCAGUGCUGGGUAAGGGUUGAAGCUUGGUAUGUAUGUAUUGGGUUGUCUGGAAACUUCGUGUUGUUACCGACGACCAAAUCGAGAUACCCAGGAACCAGACGAUAAAUUCCAACAAGUAUUGAUCGCAACUGGAGCAAUUGAAGACAGCUAUCUAGAACUAACGCUCGAAAUCAGCCAAUAGAAAUAGGUGUCGUGUUCCACCAGGACAAUGCAAGGCCUCAUGUGCUACGCGUCGCUUCAGGCUAUCACUCGUUCAGUUUCCUGUACAAUUCUCUCAAGACUUUUCGCCUCUUGGGACUGCAUGAAACAGCAUAUUGACCACAUUUUCGAUGAGAGUACCAGUAGAACAGAAUUUUUCGUGAAAGAUGGCAAAAUAUUGUGGAUAAUAGAAUAAACUGAAAUUUUCCGGGCGAUUAAAUAAAUAUGAAAACAAAAUUUGUUCACAUUUCCCUAAUUGUCGAUGUAGUAAAUGUAUUACAUGUGGUCAGUUCAAUAUAUAUAUAGUAAAUAUAAUAG